AUUGAACGCUGGCGGCAGGCUUAACACAUGCAAGUCGAGCGAGCGGCGGACGGGUGAGUAAUGUCUGGGAAACUGCCUGAUGGAGGGGGAUAACUACUGGAAACGGUAGCUAAUACCGCAUACCAUCAGAUGUGCCCAGAUGGGAUUAGCUAGUAGGUGGGGUAAUGGCUCACCUAGGCGACGAUCCCUAGCUGGUCUGAGAGGAUGACCAGCCACACUGGAACUGAGACACGGUCCAGACUCCUACGGGAGGCAGCAGUGGGGAAUAUUGCACAAUGGGGGAAACCCUGAUGCAGCAACGCCGCGUGCGGGAUGACGGCCUUCGGGUUGUAAAGUACUUUCAGCGAGGAGGCGUUACUCGCAGAAGAAGCACCGGCUAACUCCGUGCCAGCAGCCGCGGUAAUUC
rnacentral:rRNA from 1 species